GUUUUUAUGGUGUAAUUAACAUACAGUCCUUUCAAGACUAAGCUAACUAAGUUUAAAAACA
rnacentral:tRNA from 1 species